UCACCUCACAGUAAUAGACUGGUAAGCGCGCGGCAAGAUGAGCCGUGAGGACAGGCGCGCCGUGGACGCCCGGCGACGGGUGGAGCGGACGCGCGCUGAAGCGCGAGGGCUUGCCUGG
rnacentral:rRNA from 1 species